rnacentral:rRNA from 1 species
UACAGAGGUGGCAAGCGUUGUUCGGAAUUACUGGGCGUAAAGGGCGCGUAGGCGGCCUUCUAAGUCAGACGUGAAAUCCCCCGGCUUAACCUGGGAACUGCGUCUGAUACUGGAAGGCUUGAGUGCGGGAGAGGGAUGUGGAAUUCCAGGUGUAGCGGUGAAAUGCGCAGAUAUCAGGAGGAACACCGAUGGCGAAGGCAGGUCUCUGGGCCACUACUGACGCUGAGAAGCGAAAGCAUGGGGAGCGAACAGG